CAAGCAGGAGGCUCUUGAGGAGCCAUUUCAGUGAUGAGGACACUGAGGAAGAGUAGUCCUAAAUCAGAUGGCGACCGGGACGCGACACCAUCUGAUCAGAGGUGGACGGACCGCUGUGGCAUUGCUCUGAAGUAGCCGAGUUCUGAGGGAGACCCGCUUCCCUGGAGGCGUCGACCUGCGCAGCUUCAACGUGUGAAAUGGAUUUAUUUUAUGUUUUUUUAAAUUCACACCAGCGGUGUCCAAAUGUCUGUUUGAGGGCUGCAUACUGAAACAAAUUCAGAAUUCUUUGACACAAAUUCAUUAAAUCAAUCACGGAAUUUUGCCAUUCAUAUUUUGUGCUAC